rnacentral:rRNA from 1 species
GGGGAAUUUUGGACAAUGGGGGAAACCCUGAUCCAGCCAUUCCGCGAGAGUGAAGAAGGCCUUCGGGUUGUAAAGCUCUUUCAGCAGGAACGAAACGGUCGGCUUUAAUACAGUCGGCUAAUGACGGUACCUGCAGAAGAAGCACCGGCUAACUACGUGCCAGCAGCCGCGGUAAUACGUAGGGUGCGAGCGUUAAUCGGAAUUACUGGGCGUAAAGCGUGCGCAGGCGGCGACAUAAGACAGAUGUGAAAUCCCCGGGCUCAACCUGGGAACUGCGUUUGUGACUGUGUUGCUAGAGUGUAGCAGAGGGGGGUGGAAUUCCACGUGUAGCAGUGAAAUGCGUAGAGAUGUGGAGGAACACCGAUGGCGAAGGCAGCCCCCUGGGUUAACACUGACGCUCAUGCACGAAAGCGUGGGGAGCAAAC